rnacentral:rRNA from 1 species
AGUGUAGGCGGGGCUUCAAGUCCGUUGUGAAACCGAUCGGCUCAACUGAUCGUUGCGGCGGAAACUGGAGUUCUUGAGUGAGGUAGAGGCAGGCGGAAUUCCCAGUGUAGCGGUGAAAUGCGUAGAUAUUGGGAGGAACACCAGUGGCGAAGGCGGCCUGCUGGGCCUUAACUGACGCUGAGGCUCGAAAGUGUGGGGAGCAAACA